GCUUAGGCGUGUGACUGCGUACCUUUUGUAUAAUGGGUCAGCGACUUAUAUUCUGUAGCAAGGUUAACCGAAUAGGGGAGCCGAAGGGAAACCGAGUCUUAACUGGGCGUUAAGUUGCAGGGUAUAGACCCGAAACCCGGUGAUCUAGCCAUGGGCAGGUUGAAGGUUGGGUAACACUAACUGGAGGACCGAACCGACUAAUGUUGAAAAAUUAGCGGAUGACUUGUGGCUGGGGGUGAAAGGCCAAUCAAACCGGGAGAUAGCUGGUUCUCCCCGAAAGCUAUUUAGGUAGCGCCUCGUGAAUUCAUCUCCGGGGGUAGAGCACUGUUUCGGCAAGGGGGUCAUCCCGACUUACCAACCCGAUGCAAACUGCGAAUACCGGAGAAUGUUAUCACGGGAGACACACGGCGGGUGCUAACGUCCGUCGUGAAGAGGGAAACAACCCAGACCGCCAGCUAAGGUCCCAAAGUCAUGGUUAAGUGGGAAACGAUGUGGGAAGGCCCAGACAGCCAGGAUGUUGGCUUAGAAGCAGCCAUCAUUUAAAGAAAGCGUAAUAGCUCACUGGUCGAGUCGGCCUGCGCGGAAGAUGUAACGGGGCUAAACCAUG
rnacentral:rRNA from 1 species